rnacentral:rRNA from 1 species
CAGUCGCCACGGUAAUACGUAGGGCGCAAGCGUUGUCCGGAAUUAUUGGGCGUAAAGAGCUCGUAGGCGGUCUGUCGCGUCUGGUGUGAAAUCCCGAGGCUCAACCUCGGGCUUGCAUCGGGUACGGGCAGACUAGAGUGCGGUAGGGGAGACUGGAAUUCCUGGUGUAGCGGUGGAAUGCGCAGAUAUCAGGAGGAACACCGAUGGCGAAGGCAGGUCUCUGGGCCGCAACUGACGCUGAGGAGCGAAAGCAUGGGGAGCGAACAGGAUUAGAUACCCCGGUAGUCCCUGUCUCUUAUAC